UGGGGAAUAUUGCACAAUGGGGGGAACCCUGAUGCAGCGACGCCGCGUGCGGGAUGGAGGCCUUCGGGUCGUGAACCGCUUUUGAUUGGGAGCAAGCGUGAGUGAGUGUACCUUUCGAAUAAGCACCGGCUAACUACGUGCCAGCAGCCGCGGUAAUACGUAGGGUGCAAGCGUUGUCCGGAAUCAUUGGGCGUAAAGGGCUCGUAGGCGGUUCGUCGCGUCCGGUGUGAAAGCCCAUCGCUUAACGGUGGGUCUGCGCCGGGUACGGGCGGGCUUGAGUGCGGCAGGGGAGGCUGGAAUUCCCGGUGUAACGGUGGAAUGUGUAGAUAUCGGGAAGAACACCGAUGGCGAAGGCAGGUCUCUGGGCCGUCACUGACGCUGAGGAGCGAAAGCGUGGGGAGCGAACAGG
rnacentral:rRNA from 2 species